ensembl:lncRNA
UUCAAGUUUAAAGUAUAAUAGAUUCUGGCUGGGCCAUCCCACAGCCCAACUUUCCUAAGAAAUUGCAAAAACUAUGCCUCCUGACAUAAGAAAUCCUCUCAGCCUUUCCUGAGCCCUGUGGAGAACCGCAAGUUCUGGUACAUAAAAUGCUUGACAGUUUUAGAGUGUUUGGGAGGAAAGUUGAGAGGAAAGAUGGAGUGGGAACCAUUGUAGGAAAUGGUUUUGUUUUCUUAAAAAACACAAGAAUCAAAAUAUAACAUUUCAGCUUACUUGGUCAGCUUCUGAUUGAAACAGUUCACCUCCUGUUUAUAAGAGGAGUGUGGUAAGGCUGUGCUUGCAAAAUGACAUUCCCUAACAAGCCAUAUUUAACACACUUUCAGAGUAGAUGACUUCUUGUCCAUAUUUCAUAUACAGGUAUGAUUUGCUUUGGAAAUAAUGGUCAGAAAUGCCCAAGUCCCAUUGUACUCCAUUUCCUGAGCCCAACUUGGUUAUCGGUUUCAUUCCAGAGUCUUAAGAUUAGACCUUGAAUUUUAUGCUGUCAGAAAUUUCCCGGUGCUGGGCUACAGUUAGCAAGGUCAGGAGCUCAUGUGGACUCAAAAGCUAGAAAGGAAUCCAGACAUGAUAACUAGGUCAGAGCGGAAAGCUGUUAAAGACAUGGUGAUCAGAUUAUCAGCCGAGAGUAACCACCUGGGACAAGUUAGCCACAUUAAAGUCCAGACCACGGGUAGAGUCUGGAAAAGAGAGACAGAAGUGUGUGGCGGGGUUGGGGGUGGCCUCUUGAAAAGAAUAUGGGAACACCUGCCAAAAGUGGUCUAUAAAUGGGAAAAUAAUUACUUUCAGACACAAAUGGUGAGAAGAUAUCAGAAUCUUAGGCACAGUAAGUAAGUAGGGUGGGAUGAUAGUACAUAAGGAACCUAGUUCUCAUUUUUUUACAGUCUGAAUUUCUUCCUCCCCCACCAAGCUACCCGAAUAAAGGCAAAGCACUAUUUUUGAGGAGCCGAUGGGUUGCUGUCACAGUUGAAGGAUUCAAUGAAGGGAGGUUAACUCAGCACAGGGCUCUGGGCAUAGCCACUGCUCACUGAGUUAGCUGCUAUUCUUCAUACCACUGUUACUAUUAACGUUUUGGUAGGACCAUGGGCACUACAGUCUCAUUGUGAUGUGUACUUGUCUGCCCCCAAUAUGUGAAGGCUUCGAUUAUUGCUUGUUCAGACCCUCUUCUCCAAAGCCAUUCAAGUGGUUAUCAUCAGAAUGUAUUUAAAUCGUGAGGCUGCGACAGCAUUAUCUUAGCAAGCCAAGUCAGGAAGAUGGAAUAUCAAGUUGCAAUUAAAGAAAACUUUUCAGAAAGGCAUCCAGUCACUGUUGAUGAUUUCGCUACAAGAGACUCAAGUCUAGAUCUUUCAUUCUGCAACAACUUGGAAAUUUUAUCUCUAAGUGCCUCAAAUUUAGGCAUGUCUCCCCCUUCUAGGCUAGGUCUUAUCUAAUCACAAUGAGAUGGAAGUUUCAAGAUACCAAGAGAGAACCACCAGCGAUGUUAUCUUGUUUAGCAGUCAUUUAAUUUAUUCAUGAUCAAAUACAAUGCUAAGCAGUAUACACUUAUUACCCAAUUACUUCCAGCUCUCCACCAAAUGUGGAUUCUUUGCUGCAUUGUCCAGAACACCAAACUGGCACAAUUUUCUG